GUCAUUGUAACAUGGGGGUAACACGGGGGUUACAAUGUAAUUCAGGUUUAUAAUAAAAGUAAACAUUCAGUACUAGGUGAUGCAGGAAGUUGAAACCAAGAAAAAAUAUCAACUUCAAACCCUAGAGACCCCCAACUGUGUGUGACAUUAAAUUCUACAGCGAUCAUAGCAACUAGCUGAAUACACUGAACCUGGGCUGUGGCCCUCGUAGAGUCAGGAUGCACAGUUACUUUAGCAUGACCCCAAAUCAAUACAGAGUAUUUAUUCAAUAGUUAACCUAUGUAUGUUUAUAUAUAUGACAUGGUGUAUGGAAUGUCUGACUUUUUUGUUUGUUUUAUUCCUAAGGAAAGGCGAGAAACUUUUCCAUGUUGAAAACAAUAAAUUACAAUAUUUCCUAUGACUACAACUCAGUCAUGCAGUACCAAAACAAAGCCUUUUCCAAAAACGGGGCACCGACCAUCGUUGUCCGUGAUGAUCUCACCCGUGUACUUGGAAAAAAAAAAUCCAUGUCUGAUAGUGACUACGCUCGUGUCAACAUGCUUUAUGAAUGUUAAUUUGAAGAAAUAUGAAGAUCACAUCACUGCAAUUAUACCAGAGACAGGACAUUGUUGGAGACCAACUCUAUCAAUAAAAGCAAUGGAAAAUGCCAUUUUUGCUUCACUGUUUAACAUGUAACAGCAGGUGUAUUAUCCGCCAGAACAUUUGUGGCUUGGAUUCACAAUGUCAA